GUAGCUGGAUCCGGCUGUGGAGAAGGAGGUGCAUUCACCCCCGCCAUCCUCUCCAUCCUCGGGAGAAC
ensembl:miRNA tgu-mir-2993 tgu-mir-2993